rnacentral:rRNA from 1 species
UGAACGCUGGCGGCGUGCCUACUACAUGCACGUCGAGCGACCAGACAAGGAGCUUGCUCCUCUGACGUUAGCGGCGGACGGGUGAGUAACACGUGGAUAACCUACCUAUAAGACUGGGAUAACUUCGGGAAACCGGAGCUAAUACCGGAUAAUAUAUUGAACCGCAUGGUUCAAUAGUGAAAGACGGUUUUGCUGUCACUUAUAGAUGGAUCCGCGCCGCAUUAGCUAGUUGGUAAGGUAACGGCUUACCAAGGCAACGAUGCGUAGCCGACCUGAGAGGGUGAUCGGCCACACUGGAACUGAGACACGGUCCAGACUCCUACGGGAGGCAGCAGUAGGGAAUCUUCCGCAAUGGGCGAAAGCCUGACGGAGCAACGCCGCGUGAGUGAUGAAGGUCUUCGGAUCGUAAAACUCUGUUAUUAGGGAAGAACAAAUGUGUAAGUAACUAUGCACGUCUUGACGGUACCUAAUCAGAAAGCCACGGCUAACUACGUG